rnacentral:rRNA from 1 species
UGCGUAGGUGGCGGGGUAAGUUUGAUGUGAAAUCUCCGGGCUUAACCCGGAAACUGCAUUGAAUACUAUUCUGCUCGAGGGUUGGAGGGGGGACUGGAAUACUUGGUGUAGCAGUGAAAUGCGUAGAUAUCAAGUGGAACACCAGUGGCGAAGGCGAGUCCCUGGACAACUCCUGACACUGAGGCACGAAAGCUAGGGGAGCAAACAG